rnacentral:misc_RNA from 1 species
AAGUCGUAACAAGGUUUCCGAGGUGAACCUGCGGAAGGGAUCAUUAGAAUUUGAAGCCGUGGCCGAUCGAAAGUGAGGUCUCGGUGUCGUUCUCCUCGGAGGCGCAUUUCUAAACCAUGUGAAAACACCCGUUGCUUCGGCGGCUGCCGGUAGCCUCACCGCUGCCCGGCGUCAGCCCGUCGGUGGCUCCAACAAAACCAUUUUCUGUAAACUUUUGUCAGAAUACGAAAAAUUAAAUCGUUAAAA